rnacentral:piRNA from 1 species
UGAUAUGCAUGGAAGUGUCACAAUAAAGU